rnacentral:rRNA from 1 species
UACGUAGGGUCCGAGCGUUGUCCGGAAUUACUGGGCGUAAAGAGCUCGUAGGUGGUUUGUCGCGUUGUUCGUGAAAACUCACAGCUUAACUGUGGGCGUGCGGGCGAUACGGGCAGACUUGAGUACUGCAGGGGAGACUGGAAUUCCUGGUGUAGCGGUGGAAUGCGCAGAUAUCAGGAGGAACACCGGUGGCGAAGGCGGGUCUCUGGGCAGUAACUGACGCUGAGGCACGAAAGCGUGGGGAGCAAACAGG